UACGUAGGGAGCAAGCGUUGUCCGGAAUCAUUGGGCGUAAAGCGCGCGUAGGUGGCCACAUAAGUCCGUUGUGAAAGUCAAAGGCUCAACCUUUGAAAGCCGAUGGAUACUGUGUGGCUAGAGUACGGAAGAGGCGAGUGGAAUUCCUGGUGUAGCGGUGGAAUGCGUAGAGAUCCGGAGGAACACCAGAGGCGAAGGCGGCCUGCUGGGCUGCACCUGACGCUGAGCCGCGAAAGCCAGGGGAGCGAACAGG
rnacentral:rRNA from 1 species